rnacentral:sRNA from 1 species
GCUGGGUGCAGUGGCACACACCUGUAAUCCUAGAAGCUCAGGAGGCUGGGGCAGGAGGAUCAUGAGUUCAAAGCCAGCCUCAGCAAAGGCGAGGCAUUAAGCAACUCAGUGAGACCCUGUCUCUA